GCAGCUGUGGCAGAGUGGUUAAGGCGAUGGACUAGAAAUCCAUUGUGGUCUCCCCGCGUAGGUUCGAAUCCAACCGUCUGCG
rnacentral:tRNA from 1 species